rnacentral:rRNA from 1 species
AUGUCUUCCAGCGAGGUCGCCUGCACCCUUGCCGCCCUCAUCCUCCACGAUGACGGGAUCCCCAUCACUUCUGAGAAGAUCGCGACGGUGGUGAAGGCUGCCGGAAUCAAGGUUGAGGCCUACUGGCCCGCGCUCUUCGCCAAGCUCCUGGAGAAGAGGAGCGUCGAUGACCUCAUCCUUUCCGUCGGAUCUGGUGGAGGUGGUGCUCCAGCUGCUGCUGCUGCUGCCCCGGCUGCUGGUGGUGCUGCUGCCGCUGAAGAGAAGAAAGAAGAGAAAAAGGAGGAGGCUAAGGAAGAGAGCGAUGAUGACAUGGGCUUCAGCUUGUUCGACUAA